rnacentral:rRNA from 1 species
UACAGAGGGUGCAAGCGUUGCUCGGAAUCACUGGGCGUAAAGCGCACGUAGGCGGACUCUUAAGUCGGUGGUGAAAUCCUGGAGCUCAACUCCAGAACUGCCUUCGAUACUGAGAGUCUUGAGUCCGGGAGAGGUGAGUGGAACUGCGAGUGUAGAGGUGAAAUUCGUAGAUAUUCGCAAGAACACCAGUGGCGAAGGCGGCUCACUGGCCCGGUACUGACGCUGAGGUGCGAAAGCGUGGGGAGCAAACAGG